GGUAAGUCCCUCCUGCAGGUACCUGGGUGUAUUCUGCUUGUGGAGGCAAAACCCAAGCCUGUGCUGCAUCUAAGAAAACAUCUUUAUUCUGUCAGUUCAAAGCUGGUCUUCUCGAGUCUCUUUGUGGUUCCAGGACCGUGUCAACCACCCUUCUAUUGCGUGCUGGCUUCUAGUCAGAGCCAGUUUGUGCAAGCAAAGCCCCUCUCCAGUUCCAGCGUUUCUUCUGUUUCUUCUCAAUGUGACGAAACCUGAGCAUGAAUGGGAAGAGUUCACUCGUAAUGCGGCCAGCCCCUGUGGUGUCGAGCUGAGAAAGUCUGUGGUUGUUAUUUCCUCCUGCGGGGUGUUUGUGGAUGACCAUCACUGUCCCGAGAGCACGCAGCAGACAGCACGGUGCGUCCAGGCAGAUGGCGGGCAGCGUCUGGGCAAACGUCGUGGUGUGUCCUGCUCAUGGCCAUGCCCAGCUCAAACCAGCUCCAACCCCGGCAAUGUCAACUUCAAAGGCUUCCCCACGCUGCAGCCACACUUCUGCCUGCGGAGACAAUUUCGGAAUCUCCUGAAGGCACAAGGAUGUUGGGACGCUGCGUGGCCUUUGGUGGCUCCAAGGGGAGAGAGCAGGACUGCAGGCACUGCUGUGCUGGCAGCAAGAGGGGUGCUGAGCUUGCCCUUGUGCAUGGAAACCCUCCAGAGCUCCCCCGGCUGACAUUGGAUCAGAGACAAACAAACAAGCGCAGCCCUCCCAAGGCCGAAGGAAAGCCCCAGCUCCCCGGGGAGGCAGAGUUAAUUCCAGGAUGCUGCUGGACGAGCUCUAGUGAGGGCUUGGCUGUGGCAAAGCUCUCGUUUCCCGUCUUCGUUCUGGGCAACUUUUCUGGUAGGGGAAGUUGUCUGAGAUGCCGAUAAAGAUAAUAAUGUAUGAAGUGAUUUCUUUAAGUUCCUGAUUUAUUGAAAUGUACACUAGUGUUUCCCUGUUUAAGCAAGCAAACAGCACCAUUUAGUUGGAGAAAAUUACGUGCACGAUUGGCUAUAUGGCUUCAUUUCACUGUAUUUUGAACAGAAUAUCCUGUUUACGCAGCUAAGGAAAAGCAAAAUCCACAUCUAUGAGAACUGCUGGUGUUUCUUCCAGACCCAUGCAAACCGUUGGCCAUGUUGUAGCAGGAUGCGCUCAGGAAGGGCGGAACAAGGAGCAGACGUGGGGAAGUUUCAGCUAAUAACAUCCAUUCUCAUAUGGGAAGGAAGCAGCAGGAAAAGGUCAGUGCAGGCCAGCAGUUAUGCAUUUUGUUCAAUGGAAGAUGCACAAUGGAAGAUCUUUUCUCCCAGGCAAUUACUGUAAUUAUGUUUACAAGCCAUGUAGCAGGUUUCUGACUGAACAAGCAAUCGGCAUGGGCGAUGAGA
rnacentral:lncRNA from 1 species